AGAUUGCCUUAGAUACUUGAAAGGUGAAGACACCUACUAUCCCCAUGGAGCCCAGGUGGGGCUGGGAGUCUGCUGUUUGUGCAGCCGGUGGGCUCGUGUUGCUUUGGGCAUCCCUGUGCCUGAAUUCCUGCAGUACACUCGGUGAGAACAGCAUCUCUGAGCCCGUCCUUGGUGACCUCACAGAGAUCACCCUAGUGGCCCAGGCUAGUGACCGGGAACAUGUACCUUCCUGCAGCCAACCCCAGACGUCCACUGAUGCAUCAUAUACUGGCAAAGAUCCUGGACUGGGGGGGCCUUGGCCACCGGAAAUUCGCCAGAUGUUGGACUCCAAGUAAGCUUGCCCUGG